AGAGUUUGAUCCUGGCUCAGGAUGAACGCUGGCGGCGUGCCUAAUACAUGCAAGUCGAGCGAACAGACGAGGAGCUUGCUCCUCUGACGUUAGCGGCGGACGGGUGAGUAACACGUGGAUAACCUACCUAUAAGACUGGGAUAACUUCGGGAAACCGGAGCUAAUACCGGAUAAUAUAUUGAACCGCAUGGUUCAAUAGUGAAAGACGGUUUUGCUGUCACUUAUAGAUGGAUCCGCGCCGCAUUAGCUAGUUGGUAAGGUAACGGCUUACCAAGGCAACGAUGCGUAGCCGACCUGAGAGGGUGAUCGGCCACACUGGAACUGAGACACGGUCCAGACUCCUACGGGAGGCAGCAGUAGGGAAUCUUCCGCAAUGGGCGAAAGCUUGACGGAGCAACGCCGCGUGAGUGAUGAAGGUCUUCGGAUCGUAAAACUCUGUUAUUAGGGAAGAACAAAUGUGUAAGUAACUAUGCACGUCUUGACGGUACCUAAUCAGAAAGCCACGGCUAACUACGUGCCAGCAGCCGCGGUAAUACGUAGGUGGCAAGCGUUAUCCGGAAUUAUUGGGCGUAAAGCGCGCGUAGGCGGUUUUUUAAGUCUGAUGUGAAAGCCCACGGCUCAACCGUGGAGGGUCAUUGGAAACUGGAAAACUUGAGUGCAGAAGAGGAAAGUGGAAUUCCAUGUGUAGCGGUGAAAUGCGCAGAGAUAUGGAGGAACACCAGUGGCGAAGGCGACUUUCUGGUCUGUAACUGACGCUGAUGUGCGAAAGCGUGGGGAUCAAACAGGAUUAGAUACCCUGGUAGUCCACGCCGUAAACG
rnacentral:rRNA from 1 species